rnacentral:rRNA from 1 species
CCAACUUUACGGAAGGGUAGUAUUUAUUAGAUAUUAAACCAAUCCUUCGGGUUGUGAUGAUUCAUAAUAACUGAUCGAAGCGAGGAUUUCCUUGCUAAAUCAUUCAAGUUUCUGCCCUAUCAGCUUUAGAUGGUAGUGUAUUGGACUACCAUGGCUAUCACGGGUAACGGAGAAUUAGGGUUCGAUUCCGGAGAGGGAGCCUGAGAAAUGGCUACCACAUCUAAGGAUGGCAGCAGGCGCGAAAAUUGCCCAAUCCCGAUUCGGGGAGGCAGUGACAAGAAAUAACAACCCAGGGGUUUCCCCAGGGAUUGUAAUGAGAAAAAUCUAAAAAACUUAUCGAGCAUCAACUGGAGGGCAAGCUAUGGUGCCAGCAGCCGCGGUAAUUCCAUCUCCAGUAGCGUAUAUUAAAGUUGCUGCAGUUAAAAAGCUCGUAGUUGAAAUUCUGUCCGGUUGAGCGAUUUCCAAAAGGUUUUCGCCUCACCGGGCAUCAGUCUGCAAUCAUUUUCACGACAUUCACUUGUCGGGAUUGGGAGCAGGCGUUUUACCUUGAGAAAAUUAGAGUGUUCCAGGCAGGCUUCAGCCCGAAUACAUUAGCAUGGAAUAAUAGAAUAGGACUAGAGACUAUUUAUUGGUUUAAGGCUUUAGUAAUGAUUAAUAGGAACAGUCGGGGGCAUUAGUACUUGACAGUCAGAGGUGA